CAUAACAUAUAGAACACACAAAACAUUGACACAAAAAAACCUUGAAUUACUUUAACUAACUCAUCAUUCAAGAAAAAAACCAAGCAUGGAUUGGUUCUCAUGGCUUUCAAAAGCAGGCCUUGAUCCUUCCCUAGUAUAUGAAUACGGACUACUCUUUUCACACAACGAGCUUGAAGAAGAAGACAUCAAGUACUUCAACCACGAGUUCCUCCAGAGCAUGGGGAUCUCCAUAGCCAAGCACAGGCUGGAGAUCCUCAAGCUCGUUCAUCGGAACAAGGCCGCCACGGCGGCAACCACGAAGAAGUACAAAACCAAUAAUUACCCUACGAUACUCCAUGUUUCAAGGAUCAUGCAUGCAUUCAAGAAAACAAGAAGGUGCUUGUCAAGUUACUUGAAAACAAUUAUUGGUUGCGAGGAUUCCACGCUCGCCGUGGUUCCAAUACCAAGGCCUUGUUCUUCGUAUGGAACCACGGCGAAGUGGAAGAGCGCGGUGUUGAAGAGGAACAACACCAAGAAUCAAAACAAUUAUCAUCAUCAUCAUCAUCACCACCAAGAGAGGCUGUUGCUUACAAAUGGAAGCCCUAUAACAUCAUCAACAAUGGUGGUUCCUGCAUUACCUGAUGGAUUCUAUAGUAGUCCCAUGGUUUACCAUUUCCAGAAGGAAGAGAAGAUGGACGCCGGCGACGACGACGGAUAUUGGUCUUCUGCGGUUCAAGAUUUCAGGUGGGAUAGUAUGUUCCAAGAUCUAAAGCCUAACUGAAUUUUCGAAGAGGCCAUGGCAACAUCAUUAUUGUCUGAACCUUGAAACAUGCAAAGGAAGGCCCUAGACAUGUGACAACAUGAUGCCUAAUUAUUUACUCAAAUUGGGGGUGAUUGGUCACUCAGAAGAACAGAAUGUUUGGCAGCUCUUGGAAGCCAAAAGAACAAUGAAGAUCAAUCAAAGGUCAAGCAAUCCUCCCAACCCC